ACAGAGGGUGCAAACGUUGUUCGGAAUUACUGGGCGUAAAGCGUGUGUAGGCGGCUUUGCAAGUCGGAUGUGAAAGCCCAGGGCUCAACCCUGGAAGUGCACUCGAUACUGCGAAGCUUGAGUAUCGGAGAGGUUGGUGGAAUUCUCGGUGUAGAGGUGAAAUUCGUAGAUAUCGAGAGGAACACCGGUGGCGAAGGCGGCCAACUGGACGAAUACUGACGCUGAGACACGAAAGCGUGGGGAGCAAACAGGA
rnacentral:rRNA from 1 species